UAGAUAAUGAGUGAUUGAGGAUAUGAC
rnacentral:piRNA from 1 species